UGCUAACGGAUUUGUAGCUGCUCGUGUUCCUUCAAAUGAAUCCUUGUCUGGUGUCUAUUUGAUUUCUGGACCUUGAACUCAUCUGGCUUCUUCCCGUGAACUGAACAAUGAGCUGUGAAGAUAAAUUCCGUAGGGAACCCAGGCUGUUGGAGAUUUAAUGACAGUGGUGUUGCUUCACACACUUGCACCCGGAACCUCAGGUCUAGAUCCAUCUCUUCAUUUUACAGAUGGAAAAAUGAAAAUGUCUCUCCAGGCAAAGGACAUUAAAGGAUUAGAACGAACAAGCCCACAAGUACAAAAAGAAAGGCUGAGGAAAUGAUAACAGACAAAAGAUGUCAACGAAGAUUGGGAAAGCAAGAGUGAUAACUGAUUCAGCAGUGUGGGUGAGGCUGGAACCCGACUGCUGCCAAGAGAAAGCCACUUCUCCCAGCCAACCCCAGGAAGCCACAGGAAUUCGUAGGGAGCAGAAAGCUGAGGGAGGAACAUGAAGAGGCGCUGACAUUCGGGAAUUCUCGGAAAGGCUUUACAGCUUGGGCUCCCAGAUCAUCUUUCUGACCCCACAGAGCUGGGCCGCUCCCUCUCGUCAGAGAAGGUGUGUUCUGGAGAGUGUGGAGAAACGAAAAUAGCCGAGGAAAAUCACUGAGAAAAAUUAUCCUAAAACCUUAUACCAUAACUUUGCUGUGCAGUCCUAAUAACGCAUUGUAAAACGCUGCUUCAUUACGCUGUAACUGUUGUAAAUUGAGAGCGGGAAAAGGGUUGGUUGGUUUGGCGGGAGAGAGUAGGUAAGAAAUGUGAAUUUUCCCUGAGAAGAAGUCAAAACUCAAUAAUAGGAAAAAAAAAAAAUCAAGGAAUGGUAGCUGAAAGAGGUCAUUUUGAUAUUAGAAGAAACAACCAGAAAGGGUUAGG